AUUAAAUCAUAAGAGUAUACAGAGGAUGCCUUGGGAGUAAAUGCCGAUGAAGGACGCGAUACACUGCGAUAAGCUUAGAUCAGGCGUGUGUAGCCACUAUGAAUCUAAGAUUUCCGAAUGGGGAAACCCUGCUAGAGUAAUGUCUAGCUAAACUAGUUUAGUAACUAGUUAAUUGGUAACCUGCUGAAGUGAAAUAUCUCAGUAAGCAGAGGAAAAGAAACAGACAUUGUUGAUUCCCUUAGUAGUGACGAGCGAAGGGGGAGUAUGCCAAAAACUUGAGAUUGUCUUUGAUUCGGAUUGUAUCUAUCAACUUCGGUUGAUCUUUAUUUGAGGAAUCAAGCCUGGUAAGGGGUAUAGACGCUUGAGGGUUGUGGGAGAUUACGUUCAGUUCUUACAGGCUGAGGAUAGGUUUACAAAACAUAUAAAUAGCAGAAUAAGUUGGAAAGCUUAACUAUAAAGGGUGAUAGUCCUGUAUGUGAAGUUUAUAUGUUACCUAUUGGUAAUUUUUCCCAAGUACGACAUGGACACCGAGAAGCCUUGUCGGAAUCAUCCGUGACUACGCGGAAAGGCUAAAUACAUUUACUCACCGAUAGUGAACAAGUACCGUGAGGGAAAGGUGAAAAGAACCCCGGUUAGGGGAAUGAAAUAGAUCCUGAAACUGUAUACUUACAAGGAGUGGAAGCGGGUAUUUAUAUCCGUAACUACGUGCCUAUUGAAGAAUGAUCUGACGAGUUAGCUGUGUAUGGCAAGGUUAAGGUCGAUUGUGACUGGAGCCGUAAGUGAAAGCGAGGGUUAAUUGCCCGAUUUAGUCGUACGCACUAGACCCGAAACCCGGUGAGCUACCCAUGAGCAGGUUGAGUCUAAGGUAAUACUUAGAGGAGGACCGGACCCGUAUCAGCUGCAACUGAUUGGGAUGACUUGUGGGUAGAGGUGAAAUACCAAUCGAACUGGGUAAUAGCUGGUUCUCGCUGAAAUAGCUUUAGGGCUAGCCUUGAGUUAAGCGGCAGGGAGGUAGAGCACUGAAUGUGUUGAGGGCCCUUGUGGUACCUCGCACAAACAAACUCCAAAUUCCUUGUUUGUGUUUCUCAGGAGUUAGGCUGUGGGAUCUAAGUUUCAUAGCCAAGAGGAAAACAGUCCAGAUCGUCGUAUAAGGCCCCAAAAUUUUAACUAUAGUGUAAAAGAGGUGGAGUUACUCAUACAACCAGGAGGUUGGCUUAGAAGCAGCCAUCCUUUAAAGAAAGCGUAACAGCUCACUGGUCAAGUGAUUCUGCGCUGAUAAUAUACGGGACUAAGUUAAAUGCCGAAGACACGAAACGUUUUUACGUUGGUAAGCGAGCGUUCUUGUUGCGCUGAAGCAUAAGAGGAAACUCAGUGUGAAGCGACAAGAAGUGAGAAUGUCAGAAUUAGUAACAGAUGAUGUAAAGUGAAAAACUUUACCACCAAAAAUCCAAGGUUUCCUACGCAACGCUUUUCGUCGUAGGGUAAGUCGGGCCUUAGGAUAGUUUCGAAUGGAGCUAUCCGAUGGACAUACGGUUAAUAUUCCGUAACCGACUACAAAUGUGAUGAAGGGACGCAAUUUGGUACGUAAUGCGGCUUUUGGCUAUUGCCGUUGAUGCGAAUAGAUCCAUGAAGUUUAGCAGUAAAUCUGUUAGACCUAUGCUAGCUACCUCUGGGUAGUAGGGCUCGGAUUGAAUCAAGUCUGAAUAAUGGAAACAUUAAAAUUACUGAACCAAGUUGCCAAGAAAAGCUUCUAAACUUAGUUUGUAGUCGUCCGUACCGCAAACCAAAAAGGGUGGAUGAGGAGAGAAUCCUAAGGUGAACGGGUGAAUAAUAGGUUAGGGAACUCGGCAAAAAAUCGGUCGUAACUUCGGGAUAAGGCCUGCCUGUCUUGUACAGGCUACAACAAAAGACUGGGUGCUGACUGUUUAACAAAAACAUAGCUCCGUGCUAACACCAAAAGUGGAUGUAUACGGGGUGAUGCCUGGCCAGUGUCGGAAGGUUAAUGGAAGCGGCGCAAGCUUCUUCCUGAAGCCCCGAUGAACGCCGGCAGUAACUAUAACUGUCCUAUGGUAGCGAAAUUCCUUGGCUCAUGAGUAGAGUCCCGCACGAAUGGCAUAACAAGCGCCCAACUGUCCCAACCAUUAACCCGGUGAAUUUACAAAGGGAGUGAAGAUGCUCUCUACCCGCACCAAGACGGAAAGACCCUAUGAAGCUUUACUAUAGGUUGUCGUUGUUGUAUGGUUAUACUUGCUCAGGAUAGCUGGGAGACUUUGAAGCGGAUACUUUGGUAUUUGUGGAGUCAACCUUGAGAUACCAGCCUAGUAUUAUUGUAUGACUAACUCGUGUGUAACUAACACGAGAACAGCGGCUGCUGGGUAGUUUAACUGGGGCGGUUGCCUCCUAAAUAGUAACGGAGGCGUCUAAUGGUCAGCUUACCUCGGAUGGAAAUCGAGGCUCAAAGUACAAAAGCAUAAGCUGGCUUGACUGCAAGACCUACAAGUUACGCAGAUGCGAAAGCAGAGUUUAGUGAACCGACGGUAGCAUGUGGAUGCGCCGAAGACCAACGGAUAAAAGUUACUCUAGGGAUAACAGGCUGAUCUUGCCCGAGCGUUCACAGCGACGGCAGGGUUUGGCACCUCGAUGUCGGCUCGUCUCUUCCUGGGGCUGUAGAAAGUCCCAAGGGUUUGUCUGUUCGCCAAUUAAAGAGGCACGCGAGCUGGGUUCAGAACGUCGUGAGACAGUUCGGUCCUUAUCUGGUGUGGGCGUGCGAAAACUGAAAGGUCGGAUCUCUAGUACGAGAGGACCGAGAUCCAUAAGCCUCUGGUGUACCAGCUGUGAUGCCAAUUGCAUUGUUGGGUAGCUAUAUGCUUAGUUUGGAUAACCGCUGAAAGCAUAUAAGCGGGAAGCCGUCCUUAAGAUUAGUUUUCGUUUUAUAUCUUCGGAUAUAAUGAAGGUUCCUGGGAGACCACCAGGUA
rnacentral:rRNA from 1 species